rnacentral:rRNA from 1 species
CCUACGGGAGGCAGCAGUGAGGAAUAUUGGUCAAUGGACGCAAGUCUGAACCAGCCAUGCCGCGUGCAGGAAGACGGCUCUAUGAGUUGUAAACUGCUUUUGUACGAGGGCAAAUCCCGAUACGUGUAUCGGGUUGAAAGUAUCGUACGAAUAAGGAUCGGCUAACUCCGUGCCAGCAGCCGCGGUAAUACGGAGGAUUCAAGCGUUAUCCGGAUUUAUUGGGUUUAAAGGGUGCGUAGGCGGUUCGAUAAGUUAGAGGUGAAAUCCCGGGGCUCAACUCCGGCACUGCCUCUGAUACUGUCGGGCUAGAGUUUAGUUGCGGUAGGCGGAAUGUAUGGUGUAGCGGUGAAAUGCAUAGAGAUCAUACAGAACACCGAUUGCGAAGGCAGCUUACCAAACUACGACUGACGUUGAGGCACGAAAGCGUGGGGAGCGAACAGGAUUAGAUACCCCGGUAGUC